AUUUUAGAUGAUGUUUGUUUACUCACUAAGUUUAUAUAAACUCACCACCCUCCUUUCCACUCAUUCCAAGAUCAGGACAGUCCGUAAAUAGCUGAUUACGUCGAGGGUUAUUAUUGGACUCGCCUCCUCAGAAAUUGGGAGGUACGAAAACUGAUAUUAAGCCUUGCGAGAUUUCGGUUGGCAUUCAGGGUAAUGAAUGUCCAUUGAGACAUCGGGGCGGUUUUCACGGACUCGAGGAGGGUAACGGGUCGUGACAUAGUCAUACGCAUAUGAGUCAUUAUAAGGAAAUGUGCUCCCACUUCCCUCAUACCAAACGCUACCUAAGGUUUCUCAUAAUCAUCAUAUGCACUUUCGUUAGAGGCUGCCCAAGAACUUCUCAGACAACUUUGGUUUGCAACAACUGACCUAGGUGCGAAGUCAAUGAAAUGAGCUGUUUGGGGCUUUAGAUAAGGAAUCUAGCUUUCUUUAUCAAUCAACGUAAUGAUCUAUGAUUAUAUGCUCACUGUAUGAAUGCUUAAUGACAAUCAAGAGACCUUUGAAGAUGACCUUGGGUGGGCAAGGCUGGUAUUGUAUGUUUUUAAUUUGUUUCGGCUGCAUAAUUUUAUUUUCCAUUGCAUUGUGAUGCAUGACCGACCUAUCUCAACAUUCAGUGUAUCAAAUAUAAACCCUUUAUUAAAAUUUUGGGUUUAUAUUUGAUGCGCAACUAAAUUAUGCAAUUAAUCCCUAUAUUCUACAAAAAAAAAUAUAGAUUUAGUCCCUGUAUAAUAACUUGUGUAAAUUGGA